AACAAGGCGUACCUGCGGACCUGCGGAAGGAUCAUUAUCGAGUUGCAAAACUCCAACCCUUUGUGAACAUACCUCAGUCGUUGCUUCGGCGGUGGACGGCCUGUUUUUCGGAACGGCCGGAAGCCGCCGGAGGUUCCAAACUCGUAUUUUUUAGUGUAUCUCUGAGCCUGAAAACAAAUAAUCAAAACUUUCAACAACGGAUCU
rnacentral:misc_RNA from 1 species